AUCCGCCUACCUCCUUCCGGGCGCUGGCUCCGCCUCAGCCCUAACUCCUCCCGCUUCCGGUUUUAUACUUGGAGGACUGGGUGUUACGUCAGCGUCCUCAAGACAGCUGUUGCAGUGUGCACAAGUUGGUCCUUGGAGGCAAGAUAUAUUUCACCAGCCCUCGUCUCCAGAUGAAAAAGAAAACUCCCCAGAUCCAUAAAAUGUGAGGGUCUCCUUCUGUGUUGUGCAACAAAGUGUUACAGAUCCAGGACUUCCACCUUUUAAGAGCGCUCUUUGCUAGAGUACAGAAAAAUCAAGCACAAGACUAGAUUUUGCUGGGUCAGUUCUGGCUGAGUCCUGGCCUGGAUGGUUUUGCUUUUUAGCCCUCUGUGAUACUGCCCAAGAACACGUACUAACAACCUUCUUCCGAGAGCCCAGAGCAUGGUGGGUCUCCCCGAAUGCUGCUGAAGAUGAGCUGUUUUUAGAUUUGAAUGGUACAUCUGAAGAAAGAAGAAAGUGAAUGCUGAGCUCAGUGGUCAUCACAGUCAAGUGGGGAAGACAGUCUCGUAAUUGCAUGGAUGAUGAUUUUUCUCUGUGUCAACAAAAUUCCACUGUCCACGUUCACUGGAAACAUCCUAUUUAAGGUACUCUCAUAACUGUGAGAAUAUGGAGGAGGAAGAGGAAGAAGAGCACAGGGAAGUGAUCUGAUAACCGAGACUGAGAAAGAACAGGACACCCCUGGAAUUGUUCCCAUCAGCACUGAGCCAUGGCCAUCAAAAACUGCUUUGUUAGUCCAGGAGGAAGUACUCUUGGAAGGCCUUUAGAGCAGACUUUUCUGAUGUAACAAAAUACAGCCACCUCUGUUUUAGGAACACAUGCCACAGACCCACAGAGAGAAAUCAACAGAAAGAAACAUAAUGAGCCUGAAAAUACCAUAGUGACUUCACUGACUCGUGGCUACUCACAUGUGUGUUUAUGGAAAUACUUAAGAUUAUCAACAGCAACAA